GGAGUUGUGGCUCAGUGGUAGAGUGCUUGCCUAGCAUGUGUGAGGCACUGGGUUUGAUUCUCAGCAACACAU
rnacentral:tRNA from 1 species